UACGGAGGGUGCGAGCGUUAUUCGGAAUCACUGGGCGUAAAGCGCGCGUAGGCGGUGCGGUAAGUCAGGGGUUAAAGGCUGCAGCUCAACUGCAGUAAGGCCUUUGAUACUAUCGCGCUAGAGUACCAGAGAGGAUGGCUGAAUUCCCGGUGUAGCGGUGAAAUGCGUAGAUAUCGGGAGGAAGGCCGGUGGCGAAGGCGGCCCUCUGGGCCUGUACUGACACUGAGGCGCGAAAGCGUGGGGAGCAAACAGG
rnacentral:rRNA from 1 species